rnacentral:rRNA from 1 species
CGGUCCAGACUCCUACGGGAGGCAGCAGUAGGGAAUCUUCCGCAAUGGGCGAAAGCCUGACGGAGCAACGCCGCGUGAGUGAUGAAGGUCUUCGGAUCGUAAAACUCUGUUAUUAGGAAGAACAUACGUGUAAGUAACUGUGCACGUCUUGACGGUACCUAAUCAGAAAGCCACGGCUAACUACGUGCCAGCAGCCGCGGUAA